AAGCGGAGGAAAAGUAACUAACAAGGAUUCCCCUAGUAACGGCGAGUGAAGAGGGAAGAGCUCAAAUUUUAAAUCUGCCUUGUUCCAAGGUCGAGUUGUAAUUUGAAGAAGCGUUUUCUUGGGCUCGCGGCCGGUAGAAGUUCUUUGGAACAGGACAUCAUAGAGGGUGACAAUCCCGUCCGUGACCGGUCGUGCGUUCAUCUACGAUACGCUUUCAAAGAGUCGAGUUGUUUGGGAUUGCAGCUCCAAACGGGUGGUAAACAUCACCUAAGGCUAAAUAUUGGCGAGAGACCGAUAGCGAACAAGUACCGUGAGGGAAAGAUGAAAAGAACUUUGAAAAGAGAGUUAAACAGUACGUGAAAUUGUUGAAAGGGAAACGAUUGAAGUCAGUCGUGCUGGCGCGAAAUCAACCCUCUCGUCUUGAGAUCACAUGGCGCGACGAGCCUCAAAACCGUCACGAAGCGUGAACUCUUGACGAAAAGGUGCACUUUCGUGUCCGCUGGUUAACAUCAAUUUCGAACGUCAUAAAAAGGCUGGAGGGAUGUGGCUCCUUCGGGAGUGUUAUAACCUUUAGCGGAAUGUGGCGUUCGGGAUUGAGGAUUGCAACGAAUACCUUCAGGGCUGUUCCACCUGGCUUCUCAUUGGUAUCCUGGUGACGACAGCUUGCUGACGUCGUUAGGAUCAGCUUCUGAACAGGCUAGAGUGUGAGCAAAUNCGUUAAGGAUGUUAACGUAAUGGCUUUAAACGACC
rnacentral:rRNA from 1 species